rnacentral:rRNA from 1 species
GCCAACCAGCUAGCCCCAACCCCAAAAAACAACAAAUCAACAUUACCAACCAUAAAUACACCUGCUUAAACCAAGCAAACCAUUUUUCCACCUAAGUAAGGGCGACAGAAAAGGAACAACGGAGCAAUAGAGAAAGUACCGCAAGGGAAAGCUGAAAGAGAAAUGAAACAACCCUAAAAAGCCCAAAAAAGCAAAGAUUAACCCUUGUA